rnacentral:rRNA from 1 species
GACAGAGGUGCCGAGCGUUAGGCGGAAUCACUGGGCUUAAAGCGUGUGUAGGCGGACUUCUAAGUACCUUGUGAAAUCCCACGGCUCAACCGUGGAACUGCUCGGUAUACUGGUUGUCUUGAGCCACUUAGGGGCAGUCGGAACAGACGGUGGAGCGGUGAAAUGCGCAGAUAUCGGGAGGAACACCAGUAGCGAAGGCGGCUCGCUGGGCCGUUCCUGACGCUGAGACGCGAAAGCUAGGGGAGCGAACAGG